rnacentral:misc_RNA from 1 species
GGGACAACUCGGAGGAAGGUGGGGAUGACGUCAAGUCAGCAUGCCCCUUACGUCCUGGGCUACACACGUACUACAAUGGUUGGGACAAAGGGCAGCAAGCUCGCGAGAGUAAGCGAAUCUCAUCAAACCCAGCCACAGUUCAGAUUGCAGGCUGCAACUCGCCUGCAUGAAGUAGGAAUCGCUAGUAAUCGCAGGUCAGCAUACUGCGGUGAAUUCGUUCCCGGGCCUUGUACACACCGCCCGUCACACCAUGGAAGCUGGCUACGCCCGAAGUCGUUACCCUAACCCGGUUUUGGGAGGGGGAUGCCGAAGGUAGAGCUAGUGACUGGGGUGAAGUCGUAACAAGGUAGCCGUACCGGAAGGUGUGGCUGGAUCACCUCCUUUACAGGGAGACCUAGUCUAAUUACCAAUAGAUGAAAAAGUUGGUAAUUCGCCAGAAUCCUUAGGUCGUGAAGGGAGCAAGAAAAAACUUUCAAACUGUAAUGGGUGAGGGUCAAUGGGCUAUUAGCUCAGGUGGUUAGAGCGCACCCCUGAUAAGGGUGAGGUCCCUGGUUCAAGUCCAGGAUGGCCCACCUGAAGUACACAGGCAUCCUGCCUGUGCCACAAAAAAAGGAAAAAAUUUUGGCAUUGUCUCUUGUAAGCAAGAGCAAGAGAUAAUGCUGGAAUCUAUUCCAGCAAGAACCUUGAAAACUGCAUAGAACUAGAAAGAAAAAGUCAGGUAGAAAAUCCUACAAGCUAGAGCUAGAAAGAGCAAAAGGU